AUUGAACGCUGGCGGCAUGCCUAACACAUGCAAGUCGAGCGAGUGGCGGACGGGUGAGUAACGUAUGGGGAUCUGCCCGAUAGAGGGGGAUAACUACUGGGAACGGUGGCUAAUACCGCAUACUAUCGGAUUAACCCAUCUGGGAUUAGCUAGUAGGUGGGGUAAAGGCUCACAUAGGCGACGAUCUCUCGCUGGUCUGAGAGGAUGAUCAGCCACACUGGUACGGAGACACGGCCCGGACUCCUACGGGAGGCAGCAGUGGGGAAUAUUGCACAAUGGGCGCAAGCCUGAUGCAGCCAUGCCGCGUGUAUGAAGAAGGCCUUAGGGUUGUAAAGUACUUUCAGCGGGGAGGCGUUACCCGCAGAAGAAGCACCGGCUAACUACGUGCCAGCAGCCGCGGUAAUUC
rnacentral:rRNA from 1 species